rnacentral:rRNA from 1 species
AGUCAACGCUGGCGGCGUGCCUAACACAUGCAAGUCGAACGAGAAAGGGGAGCAAUCCCUGAGUAAAGUGGCGACCGGGUGAGUAACACGUGACUAACCUGCCUUCGAGUGGGGGAUAACCUCGGGAAACCGGGGCUAAUACCGCAUAAUGCCUUCGGGUUAAAGGAGCAAUUCGCUUGAAGAGGGGGUCGCGGCUGAUUAGCUAGUUGGCGGGGUAACGGCCCACCAAGGCGAAGAUCGGUAGCCGGCCUGAGAGGGCGCACGGCCACACUGGAACUGAAACACGGUCCAGACUCCUACGGGAGGCAGCAGUGGGGAAUUUUGCGCAAUGGGGGAAACCCUGACGCAGCAACGCCGCGUGGAGGAUGAAGUCCUUUGGGACGUAAACUCCUUUCGACCGGGACGAUUAUGACGGUACCGGUGGAAGAAGUCCCGGCUAACUUCGUGCCAGCAGCCGCCGUAACAC